GGAGACCGCCCCUUCCUCUCGGUGCGGGAGGCUCCAACUGCUGCCUCGCUUUGUGUUUUGUUUGUUUGUGUUUUGUUUGUUUGUGUUUUGUUCCUCGCGUCGCCGAUGCUGCCCCAGAGGACUGGACCGGUGUUUCAACCGAAACACUUCUUGUAUCCGUGUUUUUCCGUAGAUGUGAUUAUUUUUCUUCCUCAAGAAAUGCUUCUCGGUAGUUAAUACAUUACGGAAGGAACCGUGGAGAAGCGCUACGCAAACAGCACAGUUCGUGCCACUUGAGCAAAAUAGAGGUCGGUCGGAGGCCGAGGUUGCCCUCCCUUCCAGGUGCAGAACAACUUCGCAGCCCACAGCCGCCGGUGAGUGUUGCAAGUUUGGCGGUGGUCUUGCUGAGGGUGUUUUCCCGCCCCCUUCUCUUUCCCCGGGUUUGUUUUGAAAAAAAAAACGAGCCUUCAACAUGCAGAGGAGGGUUUUCGGUUCGUUAUCCCCCAGACCUAACGUGUUGAAUGGUGAGAGUGCAAACGUGAAUAAAACGAUGCAAAGCACCAAUUUGCUCUUAAAAUACCAGGUAGAGCUAUGCGUGUGUGCACAUACGUCUCUUCGUCUGUAAUCACGGUGUUUGCUUAUUGGCGUUGCAAGGAUUUAAACAAGUGACGUAAAGCAGUUACUGUGGUCUUACCUGUGGGAAGUUAACCCGUGACGGCAAUAUAGAGAUGCACUGAAGACAGACGAAAUGGGAGAAAGAUAGUUGUAGUAAAUAAGAGUUCAGCUUCC
rnacentral:lncRNA from 1 species